rnacentral:rRNA from 1 species
GGAACGAACGCUGGCGGCAGGCUUAACACAUGCAAGUCGAACGGUUGUAGCAAUACAGCAGUGGCAGACGGGUGAGUAACACGUGGGAACCUUCCUAGGGGUACGGAACAACUCAGGGAAACUUGAGCUAAUACCGUAUACGUCCGUGAGGAGAAAGAUUUAUCGCCCCUAGACGGGCCCGCGUAGGAUUAGGUAGUUGGUGAGGUAACGGCUCACCAAGCCUACGAUCCUUAGCUGAUCUGAGAGGAUGAUCAGCCACACUGGGACUGAGACACGGCCCAGACUCCUACGGGAGGCAGCAGUGGGGAAUCUUGGACAAUGGGCGCAAGCCUGAUCCAGCCAUGCCGCGUGAGUGAAGAAGGCCUUCGGGUUGUAAAGCUCUUUUACCAGGGACGAUAAUGACGGUACCUGGAGAAUAAGCCCGGCAAACUUCGUGCCAGCAGCCGC